CAGCAGCCACGGUAAUACGGAGGGUGCAAGCGUUAAUCGGAAUUACUGGGCGUAAAGCGUGCGUAGGCGGUUCGUUAAGUCUGUUGUGAAAGCCCCGGGCUCAACCUGGGAAUGGCAGUGGAUACUGGCGAGCUAGAGUGUGUCAGAGGAUGGUGGAAUUCCCGGUGUAGCGGUGAAAUGCGUAGAGAUCGGGAGGAACAUCAGUGGCGAAGGCGGCCAUCUGGGACAACACUGACGCUGAGGCACGAAAGCGUGGGGAGCAAACAGGAUUAGAUACCCCAGUAGUCCCUGUCUCUUAUAC
rnacentral:rRNA from 1 species